CCCGAACUUUCCGUCACGGCGGGACAACCGUCAAAGUAAAUGUCCGCUUUCUGAUUUAUUUCCAUUUCCCUCCGAGGGAAGUUGGGGCGUUUGUGAAGCGUCUCCUGCGGCCGGAGUCUGAUGUGUCGCUGAGAGUGCUGAAGCGGAUCGUCUGCGGGAUCGGGAAGGGACGAUCGCCUCCUUGAUCGGGGAGCCGGGGGUCGCGAUCACUGUUUACGGGCUGAAGAUAUCACUUUCCCAUCGUUAGACCUGCGCUGAGAGAUUUAUUGGAAGAAAAACCCCAACUGGAAGCAAACCACGACUGAAGACGAGGGAACAGCAACAAGUAAACCAGCCCGAGGAUUGAGAGCUUCAACUGGAGAGAACCCAUCUGACUUGGAGAAAACAGUGUCUCAGUCAGGAGAAAGUUUGGUUAAACAUGACAAGGAAUUUGUCUAUGGGAAUCUCGAACACAACACGCCAGUUUUGCUGUCUCUGUCCAGAUAAUUAAGAAGAGGAGCAAGGGAUUCACUCGAUCAUCCUUCCUACUCAGACUGUGAGGAGGGAUUCACUCGGUCAUCUGACCGACUGGCACACCGGUCAUUUUACACAGUGGGGGGCGGAGGGAACCGAUUCACCUGAGCAAACAGUGGGAAUGGAUUCAGUCGGUCAUUUCAACUGAAGAAACGCACAUACGCAGCUGUGAUACCUUACGUUUUUUUACUGGGUGGAAGGAUAUUCAAUUCUACUCUUCGUUCAACGCAAAAUCACUUGGAGUUUCGAUUUUUGUACAUAAUGCAGUUUCCUUCAUUCAGCAUAAAGUUGUUGCGGACCUUAAUGGUCGAUUUGUUAUUGUAUCAGGGAGUUUAGACAGUAAGUUGAUUGAUUUUGCUAAUGUAUAUGCUCCCAACAUAGAUGAUCCAGGAUUUUUUGAACGUCUAUUUUCAUUUUUGCCAGAUUUGUGUACUUACUCCCUUGUGAUGGGAGGAGAUUUUAACUGCUGGUUAGAUCCAGUAUUAGAUCACUCAUCUGUUAAACCCUCCACACUUAAUAAAUCAGCUUUGUUUAUCCAAUCUUUUCCAACUAAAUGUGGUAUAGUUGAUGCUUGGUGUUUUCUGCAUCUGACGGACAGGAAGUAUUCAUUUUUCUCUCAUGUCUAUUGUUCUUAUACCAGGAUUGACUAUUUUUUUUAUUGAUAGUCAAAUGAUUCCAUUAGUUUGAUCGAUUGAAUAUAAAGAGAUUGCUAUCUCUGACCACUCUCCUGUAAUUUCUGUCUUUAAAUCUUCCUGGUCCUAUCCCUGUGAGUAGAUUUUGGUGAUAUAAUUUAACUCUGUUAUCCGAUGAGGAUUAAAAAAAAUUAUGGAGAAUCAAAUUACUCUUUAUUUUUGAAGAAAAUAUGUUGGAAGAGAUGUCUCGCCUUAUUAUAUGGGAUACUUUUAAAGCAUACAUCUGGGGUCAAAUUAUUUCUUAUACUGCAAACAUCAUUAUAAAAGCUAACAAAGAAAGAAAUGAAUUAGCCAAUCAGCUAAAGCAACUGGACCAUAAAUAUGCUUCGGUAUCUGAUCCUGAAACAUAUAAGAGACGUACUGAAACUAAAACUAAAUAUGAUCUUCUUUUAACAUAUCCAAUUGAAAGCUAACUUUUUAAAGAUAGAAGUCAACUUUAUAUUCACAGAGAUAAAACUGGUAAGCUACUGACUAAUCAAUUGAAGCCAUUUUCAGCCGAUCAGGAAAUUAAAGAAAUACAUAAAAUUAAUGGAGACAUGACAACUGACCACCUUGAAAUUAAUGAUACUUCCAGGGAAUUUUGUUCUAAAUUGUAUAGUUCUGACUCUGUUAAUGAUAGUAUUGCAAUGAAUAAUUUUUUAGAUCAAUUAAAUAUUCCUAAUCUUUCGUUAGAUGAUCGUGGGCAAUUGGAUCAACCUAUUUCCCAGGAUGAAAUUGCUCAGGCUAUUUGAGAAUUGUAUUCUGGGAAAUCCCCAGGACCCGGUGGAUUCUCUGAAGAGUUUAAUAAGGCUUUUCCUUCCUUGCUUAUACCACACUUAAGUUCUACACUUACAGAUUCCUUUAAGGAAGGAAGACUACAGCAGUCUUUUUACGAAGCUUCCAUUUCGCUCAUUCUCAAAAAGAAUAAGAAUCCGACUGAAUGUUCUUCAUACAGACCUAUCUCUUAACUCAAUUUUGAUACUAAAAUUUUAUCUAAAGUGUUGGCUCGCAGACUUGAAAAUGUUAUAUCUUCUGUAGUUUUGGAUGAUUAGACAGGAUUUAUUAAAAAUCGAUAUUCCCAUUUUAAUAUACGGUGUUUGUUAAAUGUUAUAUACGCUCCAUCUAAGGAAAUACCAGAAUGUGUGAUACCUUUGGAUGUGGAGAAGGCUUUUGACAGAGUUGAAUGGAACUUUCUAUUUACAUCCUUAGAAAAAUUUAUUUUGGACCUACUUUUAUUCAUGAGAUUAAAUUACUUUAUCUCCCUCCGCUCGGGUUCUUACUAAUUUUCAGAAUUCUAAACCCUUUAAACUCCAACGUGGAACUAGACAAGUUUGCCCCUUGAGCCCCCUGGUUUUUGAUUUGGUUUUAGAACCCUUAGCAAUUGCUUUUCGAGAGUCAAAAGAGAUCACUGGUAUUUUAAGGAGAGGUACUAUUCAUAAAGUGUCGCUCUGUGCUGAUGACUUAUUGCUUUUUUA